rnacentral:rRNA from 1 species
AUUGAACGCUGGCGGCAGGCCUAACACAUGCAAGUCGAGCGGAUGACGGGAGCUUGCUCCUUGAUUCAGCGGCGGACGGGUGAGUAAUACCUAGGAAUCUGCCUGAUAGUGGGGGACAACGUUUCGAAAGGAACGCUAAUACCGCAUACGUCCUACGGGAGAAAGCAGGGGACCUUCGGGCCUUGCGCUAUCAGAUGAGCCUAGGUCGGAUUAGAUAGUUGGUGAGGUAAUGGCUCACCAAGGCGACGACACGUAACUGGUCUGAGAGGAUGAUCAGUCACACUGGAACUGAGACACGGUCCAGACUCCUACGGGAGGCAGCAGUGGGGAAUAUUGGACAAUGGGCGAAAGCCUGAUCCAGCCAUGCCGCGUGUGUGAAGAAGGUCUUCGGAUUGUAAAGCACUUUAAGUUGGGAGGAAGGGCAGUAAGCUAAUACCUUGCUGUUUUGACGUUACCGACAGAAUAAGCACCGGCUAACUCUGUGCCAGCCGCCGCGGUAACAC